rnacentral:rRNA from 1 species
GAUGAACGCUGGCGGCGUGCCUAAUACAUGCAAGUCGAGCGAACGGACGAGAAGCUUGCUUCUCUGAUGUUAGCGGCGGACGGGUGAUUAACACGUGGAUAACCUACCUAUAAGACUGGGAUAACUUCGGGAAACCGUAGCUAAUACCGGAUAAUAUUUUGAACCGCAUGGUUCAAAAGUGAAAGACGGUCUUGCUGUCACUUAUAGAUGUAUCCGCGCUGCAUUAGCUAGUUGGUAAGGUAACGGCUUACCAAGGCAACGAUGCAUAGCCGACCUGAGAGGGUGAUCGGCCACACUGGAACUGAGACACGGUCCAGACUCCUACGGGAGGCAGCAGUAGGGAAUAUUCCGCAAUGGGCGAAAGCCUGACGGAGCAACGCCGCGUGAGUGAUGAAGGUCUUCGGAUCGUAAAACUCUGUUAUUAGGGAAGAACAUAUGUGUAAGUAACUGUGCACAUCUUGACGGUACCUAAUCAGAAAGCAACGGCUAACUACGUG